CUUUCCGCUGCCACCGAUGGAGAUCGGCCUCGUCGUCGCUCACCGGCCGUCUCUCCCGGUGGCGGCGGUACCGGCGCCGGCCUACCUCCGCCGCCGCCACCUUCCCGGCCUAAUCUCCCUCCCCCGCACCUCCCCCUCCCUGUUCUCCCCGCACCAUCAACGCCUCAGUCCCACGCCUCGCCAUGACCUCCUGCAGCCUCUCCGAGCCUCCCCAGCCCCUGAUUCUAGCCCCAAACCAGAGCCCCCCGCCGCCUCCGGUGCGAAGCUUGUGCCGCUCGUCAUCUCCAUCGCGGUCGGCCUCGCCGUGCGGUUCCUCGCGCCGCGGCCCGCCGAGGUGAGCCCCAACGCGUGGCAGAUGCUCUCCAUCUUCCUCUCCACCAUCGCGGGGCUCGUGCUGGGCCCGCUCCCCGUCGGCGCCGUGGCCUUCCUCGGGCUCACGACCGUCGUUGCCACGAAAACGCUCCCCUUCGCCGCCGCCUUCGCCGCCUUUACCAACGAGAUCAUCUGGCUCAUCGUCAUCUCCUUCUUCUUCGCGCGCGG
rnacentral:lncRNA from 1 species